rnacentral:rRNA from 1 species
GAUUAACGCUGGCGGCGUGCAUAACACAUGCAAGUCGAACGAUGAAACUUAGUAGACUUCUUCGGAAAGACACUAAGCGGCUUAGUGGCGAACGGGUGAGUAACGCGUGAGUAACCUGCCUUACACAAGGGGAUAGCCUUUGGAAACGAAGAAUAAUACCCUAUAAAACUAUAAAAGCACAUGCUAGAAUGGUCAAAGUGCUAGCGGUGUAAGAUGGACUUGCGUCUGAUUAGCUAGUUGGUGAGAUAAAAGCUCACCAAGGCAACGAUCAGUAGCCGGCUUGAGAGAGUGUACGGCCACAUUGGGACUGAGACACGGCCCAGACUCCUACGGGAGGCAGCAGGGGGGAAUUUUGCACAAUGGGGGAAACCCUGAUGCAGCGACGCCGCGUGAUUUAGAAGGCCUUCGGGUUGUAAAAAUCUUUUGUAUAGGAAGAAAAUGACAGUACUAUACGAAUAAGGUCCGGCUAAUUACGUG